GAUGAACGCUGGCUACAGGCUUAACACAUGCAAGUCGAGGGGAAACGACGGGGAAGCUUGCUUCCCCGGGCGUCGACCGGCGCACGGGUGAGUAACGCGUAUCCAACCUGCCUCUGACUGAGGGAUAACCCGUCGAAAGUCGGCCUAAUACCUCAUGGCAUCGUCUGCGGGCAUCCAACGACGAUUAAAGAUUUCAUCGGUCAGAGAUGGGGAUGCGUCUGAUUAGCUUGUUGGCGGGGUAACGGCCCACCAAGGCGACGAUCAGUAGGGGUUCUGAGAGGAAGGUCCCCCACAUUGGAACUGAGACACGGUCCAAACUCCUACGGGAGGCAGCAGUGAGGAAUAUUGGUCAAUGGGCGAGAGCCUGAACCAGCCAAGUAGCGUGCAGGAUGACGGCCCUAUGGGUUGUAAACUGCUUUUAUGCGGGGAUAAAGUGAGGGACGUGUCCUUCAUUGCAGGUACCGCAUGAAUAAUGACCGGCUAAUUCCGUG
rnacentral:rRNA from 1 species